UUCCUAUUUCCUGUAGAGUGAAAAGGACCUAUUUAAAAACAGUUUCAGACUCUUACUGUUUGGACCACUGACUUCCACGUGGGCUCUUUGCAGGCAGGGGCAUCUGCUCAUUCAGCUUGGUAUCCCCAGUACAUGUCUCUCACUGCCUAGCUGGCAUCAAAAUGCUUACUGAAUUUGUACAGAAACUUUAAUGUAGUCAGUGACGAUGGCAUCAGUAUGGACAAUCAGCUUCCGCAUUUCAACAGGGCACAUGAAAUUAAUAGUUCGGUAUUAAUUUCCUUAUUCUCUCUUCAACCCAGAAUUCCACUGAGGAAGCUGUUGUGGCAGGGAGAUAGCCUGCAACUGAGGUGCCCAGGUAAGAUUCUAGCCAGAUUCCAAACUCAGAAAUAUUCAGUCCUCCUACAUUCUGGGGGAAGAAUUGGCUGAAACUUCAAGAAAAUUCUUUCAUUUGACGAUUUGACACUUGGAGUCUCUUGGUUUUGGGUAGAGCUUGAAAUCUCUGACUCAAUAAACUGGAAGCCUGAAAAGAGGAAAACGUACCAUUCUUCUAUACUUAUUAGAAGUUGACCCAAAGUUAGUACCUGAAGCCACUUAAAGGUGACUAAGGAUUCACUCUGAAGAUGAAAGUGACUGAAAUGAUGAGCUGGUACAGACCCACGCAGUCCUGGAAAAAGGAAAUGGGGCAGCUGAGAAGCAGCAGCCCUGGAAGAAAGAAAGAUCAAAACACACUUCAUGGAGAGCCGCAGGAAACACUGAUGACAUCAGAUCCUAGGAGCCCUCUCGACAUUUCCCAGCGGUCUUGAAGCCAAUACAUAGCAUCCUCUUGGAAGCGAACCUUUUGAGAACAUCAGAAUGAAAAGAACACAAGAACACGAGUGUCCUCUAUGCUGAGGACACAGAAAGGCUUUAGGGAGAGCCAGGAUACAGCACUUAAACCAAGAUGGCCAUUCUGGUGCAUGCACAGAGAGCAAUGGCAGCUUAGGUUGGGGGUAGCGGGUGGGGCAUGGGAUGAGAUUUGGGUUCUACUUCAGUUCUAGGUGCUAUGAAGUCUUAGAAUGAUUUCUUUUUAAAUAACUGUCUAGCAAGGACUGGUUUAGGGGGAACUCCCAUGGUCUCCUCCUUGGAGGUGAAGUAAAACAAGAAAAAGUCAAGCCCUAGAGAAUUCACAUAUAUUUAACUCAUCUGAUCCACUGGGAAACCCUUGAUCAAUUCUGUAAUCUUGCUACCAUAGAACUUCAAUGACAGUGUCAGCUGCUUCAAAACCCUUAGUGACAUUUCCUGGAAACAGACUUCAUUCUGUGUUCAGCUUUCACUUGACACAUUUCAGGCCUGAUGAUUUUAAAUGAGGGAGAAAAAAAACGUUGUUAAAUAUUACUGCAAAAUUUUACUUGGCUUAAUGGCCAAUAAAAUAACACAGUGUGUUCAGGUGGCUCAGCCUUCCGGUUUGACCAUCUGGCCUGAUGAAUAUGCCCAAUUUCUCUUAUCUUUUGCUGGCUUUCCCUCCAUUGCCUAUUUGAGUUCUUGGUCCUCAGCAUAAUUGGCUCCUGAGACCUUCUUAAAGGGCAUGUCCU
rnacentral:lncRNA from 10 species